rnacentral:rRNA from 1 species
GACGAACGCUGGCGGCGUGCCUAACACAUGCAAGUCAAGGCGGUAGCAAUACCGACUGGCGCACGGGUGCGGAACACGUAGGUAAUCUGCCCUCAAGGGGAGCACAACUCAUCGAAAGGUGAGCUAAAUCUCCGUAACAUAUUCUGGUGGCAUCAUCGGGAUAUCAAGCUUUCUUGGGGAUGAGCCUGCGUCUGAUUAGCUAGUUGGUAGUGUAACGGACUACCAAGGCUACGAUCAGUAGCUGGUCUGAGAGGAUGAUCAGCCACAUUGGGACUGAGACGCGGCCCAGACUCCUACGGGAGGCAGCAGUGAGGAAUAUUGCUCAAUGGAACGAAAGUCUAGAAGCAGCAACGCCGCGUGAGGGAUGAAGGUGCU